rnacentral:rRNA from 1 species
UACGUAGGGUGCAAGCGUUAAUCGGAAUUACUGGGCGUAAAGCGUGCGCAGGCGGUUGUGCAAGACAGAUGUGAAAAUCCCCGGGCGUUAACCUGGGAACGUGCAUUUGUUGACUGCAAAGCUAGAGUGUGGCAGAGGGGGGUGGGAAUUCCACGUGUAGCAGUGAAAUGCGUAGAGAUGUGGAGGAACACCGAUGGCGAAGGCAGCCCCCUGGG